rnacentral:lncRNA from 1 species
CACCCACAGCCCUUUGCUCAUCCCAUCAUCUUCCGCAACAGCUGUCUAAUCCUUGUUGGUAUUGGAUUCGUAAACCCUGUUUGCAUAUAUUAUUGCAUUCGGUGUCCUUAUUUGUGUUGAUUUUGGAUGCCAAAAUAUGCGAAUUUAUAUAAAUAUAGGGCUAAUGUCUACUCUAACAUACUCUUUCUUUACUGAUUCAGCGUUCUCGGGUUGAACUAGGCUAAAAGUUUGAGGUAUGUCUUCCACUGAGCUUUAUUCCUUUUCUUCUUAUUUCUUCUUCCUCUUAUUUUAAAAACUUAUCCAGACUUAAUCUUGGCUGGCUUGGCUAGUGCAUAUUCUGUAGUUUCUAAUUUCUUUUUUAUUAGAAAGUAUAGUUCUCUGAAAUAUUGUCCCAUGAUGCCUAGUUAUUCCAAUUGGUGAGUCAAUUCCCAGAUGAUCAUCCAUGUUUUAGAAAUUACUCAAGAAAGUCACUUUUCUUUUUUUUAGGACAAUAAAAUCACUCAUUUUUUCUUACAUAUCUAAAAAGGUCACUACUAAAACUCUCGCGCUAAAAUUAUUUGCUAUAUCAUUUAAAUUUUUUAUUUAUACAAGACCUUUUUUUUCAACCCACAACAAUUCGAUUCAAGAUCAAUAUAUAAUAAAUGACUAUUUUUCAAGGACAACUUUCAAAAGUAUAUUAUGAUAAUGGUCAUUAAGGCAAUAUAAGAUUUAGUAGUAAUUAGGAAAGACUAUUACCAUAGCGGAAGGUUUUGUCAGUUCUGACUAGCCAUGCCAUUAAUCGAAGUCCUGUGAUAUAUAAUUUGAAGCUUGACCUCUAAUGAACAAAAAGCUAGUCAAAACUUUCAUAAAAAUAGCACAGGCUAACCAGUUUUCUGUGAUGACCUGGUCGGUCGUCUUAAGAAUUAAUGCCCCUAUCCCUUAUCAACUGCUUACCCCAAGUUUAAUUAUGCUAUUUUGAUUUGCCGGGAUAUUCGGUGUCGAGUUUCGGAGAGUUUUGGGACACUUAGUCCCUAAAUGAGAGCUUAAGUGUUGGAAAGUUGACCGUAGUCGGAACAGUGUGAAGAUGGCCUCGAAAUAGAAAUUCAAUGGUUCCGUUAGCCCCGUUGGGUGAUUUCGGGCUUAGGGACGUGUUCGGAUUGUGUUUUGGAGGUCUGUAGCUAAUUUAGGCUUGAAAUGCCGAAAGUUGAAUUUUUAAAGUUUCCAGUUCGAUAGUGAGAUUUUGAUCCGAGGGUCGGAAUGGAAUUCCGGAAGUUAGAAUAGCUCCGUAGUGUUUAAUAUGACGUACGUGCAAAAUUUCAGGUAAUUCGGACGAGGUUUGAUAGACUUUUUGAUCGAAAGCGUAUUUUUAGAGUUUUUGGAUUUUUUAGGCUUGAAUCUGAUGAAAAAUAGGUAUUUUGAUGUUGUUUUGAGCGUUCCGAAGGUUGGAACAAGUUUGAAUGAUGUUUUAGGAUUGGUUGGCAGGUUUGGUUGAGGUCCCAGGGACCUCGGGCUAUUUCGGAUGCUCAACGAACUACUUUUGGACUUGGAAAGACAACAGAUUUUCUGCUGUUGUGUUGCAGAGAAAACAUUCAUUGCGUUCGCGAGAGGGUCUCGAGUUUGCAUAGAGCAUCUGGGUGAAGCAGCUGAAAUGUGCUUUGCAUUCGCGAAGGUAAGGACCCGUUGGCCUUCGCGUUCGCGACAUGCUCCUCGCGUUCGCAUAGGGUCUGCCCGUGUAAGCUAUGAGUUCGCGAGUAGACCUCGCAUUUGCGAAAGAGGAAUUUGGCCAGCAAGACUUUUGUGCAUCGCGUUCGCGAUAGUCCCCUCCCGUUCGCGAAGAAGAACGCGCCUGGGCAGAUAUAAGAUUUCAAAGUGAGGGUUUUAGCCAUUUUUAUCAAAACUUAAGCUUGGGCACUCGGAUUUGAGCGAGAUUUUGAGGGAUUUUCAGAGAUAUCGAUUGGGUAACGAUUCUUAACUCAUUUUUGCUUGUAACCCAUUAAUCUAAACAUGAAUUCAUCCUUUAAUUUCGGAAUUUGUAUGAAAAUUGGGGAAAAGUUCUUAGACCAAGAAAUUGAGUUUUGAUUGGGGAUUCGACAUCAGAUUUGGAUAAUUUUGGUAUGGUUAGACUCGUGAGAGUGUGAGGAUUCUGAAACUAUAAAUUUUACCCAAUUCUGAGACGUGGGCCCGAGGGUGUUUUGGUCAUUUUACCAAGAGAUCCUCGGGAUACCAAGAGAUCCCCGGUUAUCAUCCUUGUUAUGAGUGGUACUUCCUUGUGGUUUGCCUUCAUCUCUGUUUCCGUUAUUGUACUCUUAUUAUCCUGUAUAGAUUCUUGCUGUAGAUUCUCAAUUGCACUGCUUAUCUUAUCCUGUCAUCUUUAUAUUUUAUUUAACCUCAGUAGGGCUCUGACCUUCCUCGUCACUACCCAACCGAGGUUAGGCUUGGCACUUGCUGAGUACCGCUGUGGUGUACUCAUGCCCCUUCUGCGCAUGUUUUUCAUGUGCAGAUCCAGGUAUCACUAAGGAUGCGACUGCUCUUGAGACUUCAAGGUACAUUUGCCGGGUCCGUAGACCGAGAAGUCCCUUUCUAUUCAUGCUUUUAGUAUUUAGCCCUUCUGU